rnacentral:rRNA from 1 species
CAGUAGCCGCGGUAAUACGUAGGGUGCAAGCGUUAAUCAGAAUUACUGGGCGUAAAGCGUGCGCAGGCGGUUAUAUAAGACAGAUGUGAAAUCCCCGGGCUCAACCUGGGAACUGCAUUUGUGACUGUAUAGCUAGAGUACGGCAGAGGGGGAUGGAAUUCCGCGUGUAGCAGUGAAAUGCGUAGAUAUGCGGAGGAACACCGAUGGCGAAGGCAAUCCCCUGGGCCUGUACUGACGCUCAUGCACGAAAGCGUGGGGAGCAAACAGGAUUAGAUACCCCUGUAGUCCCUGUCUCUUAUAC